ACACUAUACAAGUAGACAGCCAUUCGCAUGCACCUUAUCCAUAUCAGGACCACCCAUUUGCACCUUGUCCAUAUCAUCACAUAGCGCAGCUGCCUAUAAAUUGCAGCCGCGGCAACGUCCAUUCAAUGCAAGAAUCACCUCUCAACACAAAACCAAUAAACUUAGCUAGGUAACCAAGGAAGGUAGCAGCAAGAGGAGGCAAUGGAGGGAAAGAGGACUACCGCUUUGAUGGUGAUCAUGUGCCUGGUCAUCUUGAGCCUCAAUGCUAACUCGGCCACCGCGGCAGAGUGCGGCUGCUGCUCAGCCGCUCGGGCAAAAGCAUGUUGUUUUGGUUGUAUUGCUGUGGGUGGCACCGACGCAGUCUGCAAGAACACUUGCUGUUUCCCAUGUUUUCUGGACGAUUCUGUUGCUUCUAAGAUGGUAGAAAUGGAAGUGCUUGCUAAGAUGGAAGAAGCGGACAAGCCUAAAAUGAUAGCAUGAACGCCGUUCAUAGGCAUAUGUUGCUAUGCUUCAAGCUAUGGCCAAGUUAUGUUAAUGUUUAUCUCCAAUAAAUUGUUCACCAUAUGGGGUGACCUCUAGUUGAUCCAUCUGUUGGUCUCAACUAUAUGUAUGUCGUGCAUCUGUGCGUGUGUGUGGUGACAAGCAUCUCUCAUUGCUUGUAAUAAGGACACAGACACUAUCCACCGUGAUAUGUGUCAUGAACAGUUUAAUAUGUUUAUGUAUUGUCUCUGGCCUUAUUAGCAAUUUUAUUAUCUGUGUGUGCAUGGUUUACUUAAUUUA